rnacentral:rRNA from 1 species
UGAACGCUGGCGGCGUAGCUUAACACAUGCAAGUCGAACGGAGUUUUUAACGGAAGUUUCGGAUGGAAGUUUAGAACUUAGUGGCGGACGGGUGAGUACGCGUGGGUAACCUGCCUCAUACAGGGGGAUAACAGUUGAAAUGACUGCUAACACCGCAUAAUAUAGCGAAACCGCAUGAUUUUGCUAUCAAAUAUUUAUAGGUAUGAGAUGGGCCCGCGUCUGAUUAGCUAGUUGUGGGGUAAAGGCCUACCAAGGCGACGAUCAGUAGCCGGGCUUGAGAGAGUGACCGGCCACAUUGGGACUGAGACACGGCCCAAACUCCUACGGGAGGCAGCAGUGGGGAAUAUUGGACAAUGGGGGAAACCCUGAUCCAGCGAACCGCCGCGUGAGUGAAGAAGUAUUUCGGUAUGUAAAGCUCUAUCAGCAGGGAAGAUAAUGACAGUACCUGACUAAGAAGCCCCGGCUAACUACGUGCCAGCAGCCGC